AAUUUUCCACAAUGGGCGAAAGCCUGAUGGAGCAACGCCGCGUGCAGGAUUAAGGCCCUUGGGUUGUAAACUGCUUUUAUAAGUGACGAUUAUGACGGUACCAUAUGAAUAAGCACCGGCUAACUCCGUGCCAGCAGCCGCGGUAAUACGGAGGGUGCAAGCGUUAUCCGGAUUUACUGGGUUUAAAGGGUGUGUAGGCGGAUAUUUAAGUCAGAGGUGAAAUCUCCGGGCUCAACCCGGAAACUGCCUUUGAUACUAUUUAUCUUGAAUUUCGUUGAGGUUGGCGGAAUAUAUCAUGUAGCGGUGAAAUGCAUAGAUAUGAUAUAGAACACCGAUUGCGUAGGCAGCUGGCUGAACGAACAUUGACGCUGAGGCACGAAAGCGUGGGUAGC
rnacentral:rRNA from 1 species